UGGGGGAUAUUGCGCAAUGGGGGCAACCCUGACGCAGCAACGCCGCGUGAAGGAUGAAGGUUUUCGGAUUGUAAACUUCUUUUAUUAAGGACGAAAAUUGACGGUACUUAAUGAAUAAGCUCCGGCUAACUACGUGCCAGCAGCCGCGGUAAUACGUAGGGAGCAAGCGUUGUCCGGAUUUACUGGGUGUAAAGGGUGCGUAGGCGGCUUUGCAAGUCAGAUGUGAAAUCCAUGGGCUCAACCCAUGAACUGCUUUCAAAACUGUUUUUCUUGAGUAGUGCAGAGGUAGGCGGAAUUCCCGGUGUAGCGGUGGAAUGCGUAGAUAUCGGGAGGAACACCAGUGGCGAAGGCGGCCUACUGGGCACCAACUGACGCUGAGGCUCGAAAGUGUGGGUAGCAAACAGGAUUAGAUACCCUGGUAGUCCACACUGUAAACGAUGAUUACUAGGUGUUGGAGGAUUGACCCCUUCAGUGCCGCAGUUAACACAAUAAGUAAUCCACCUGGGGAGUACGACCGCAAGGUUGAAACUCAAAGGAAUUGACGGGGGCCCGCACAAGCAGUGGAGUAUGUGGUUUAAUUCGACGCAACGCGAAGAACCUUACCAGGCCUUGACAUCCCGAUGACCGGUCUAGAGAUAGACCUUCUCUUCGGAGCAUCGGAGACAGGUGGUGCAUGGUUGUCGUCAGCUCGUGUCGUGAGAUGUUGGGUUAAGUCCCGCAACGAGCGCAACCCUUACGGUUAGUUGAUACGCAAGAUCACUCUAGCCGGACUGCCGUUGACAAAACGGAGGAAGGUGGGGACGACGUCAAAUCAUCAUGCCCCUUAUGGCCUGGGCUACACACGUACUACAAUGGCAGUCAUACAGAGGGAAGCAAAAUCGCGAGGUGGAGCAAAUCCCUAAAAGCUGUCCCAGUUCAGAUUGGAGUCUGCAACCCGACUCCACGAAGCUGGAUUCGCUAGUAAUCGCGCAUCAGCCACGGCGCGGUGAAUACGUUCCC
rnacentral:rRNA from 1 species